rnacentral:rRNA from 1 species
UUUUUUGAUGGCUCGAAGAUGUUGAAUGGUUCCGGUGCUGGGGUUGUCCUGGUUUCCCCCAGAGGAGAUAAGCUCAGAUAUGUGCUCCAGAUUCACUUUGAUUCCUCCAACAAUGAGGCAGAAUAUGAAGCCCUCUUAUAUGGGUUGCGCAUGGCCAUUUCACUCAGCGUCCGUCGCCUGAUGGUCUAUGGCGACUCGGAUUUAGUGGUCAAUCAGGUGAUGAAAGAGUGGGACGUGAGAAGCCCAGCCAUGACUGGAUACUGCAGUGCAGUGAGGAAGCUGGAAAAGAAGUUCGAGGGGUUGGAGCUCCACCAUAUACCCCGACUGAAAAAUCAAGCAGCUGAUGAUCUAGCAAAGAUAGGUUCCAAGAGAGAAGCCAUCCCGAGUGGUGUGUUCUUGGAGCAUAUACACACUCCGUCAGUCAAAGAAGAUCCUUUCACCGAAGAAACUCCACAACCCAAGAGUGCCACAGAUCCGACUGAGGUUGAAGUCCCAGCGGUGGUCGACUUGAUCAUGAAGGUUUUGGUGGUCAUUCCCGACUGGACGAUUCCGUAUGUCGCAUAUAUCCUGAGGAAAGAGCUCCCGGAGGAUGAGGAAGAGGCUCGACAGAUCGUCCGUCGAUCUAAGGCCUUUACCGUAAUCAAAGGACAAUUA